CCUCCAGCUGAGAAAGCAAAGCCAACUCACAGUUCCUUGGCUGUCCCGCGGAGCCUGCGGUGGCAAACCACCUCCUUCAGAAGGGUCUGUGGAUUCUCCUGGCUUUUCUGGCCUUGCCGGAGUCCCACUGCUCCCGAACACAUGCCCUGAGGCAGCGUGCCUGCACAACCAGCUUCCAUCUGAACGCUUCAGACAUGCGCUGCAUUCAGGGCAGGGACUUUUCUUGGACAGAGAAGCUGAGAAGUAUCAGAUAAAGAUGACCUGCAUGUACUGGAAAAUAAUCUGUGGUUUAUAUGUAGGCGGAUGGAAGCAAACCAGGGUAAUAUACAUUUAGAGGCAGAGGGCUCUCACAAUAUCCUCUUCAAAAAACAUUAGGAUGAAAACAGUUGCAGAACAUUUCUAGUAAAAUAUAUCAUUAAAACUUAGAACAAAAGAAGAAUUUGUAGUUCACAGCCACAUGAGAUAGUCAAGUGUUAAAAGGGAAAAAGAGCUAUCGAAGGCAGGAAGCAAAAUGCCUUCAGAGAUAAAAGGUUAUUCGUGGCUGAGUGAAAAAAAUGGACAAUGAGCAGAAAAUAAUUUAUACUACAAAGUCUUUAGACGUCAUUUACUUGG
rnacentral:lncRNA from 1 species